rnacentral:rRNA from 1 species
CAUUCACGGAGAGUUUGAUCCUGGCUCAGGACGAACGCUGGCGGCGUGCUUAACACAUGCAAGUCGAACGAUGAAGCCCUUCGGGGUGGAUUAGUGGCGAACGGGUGAGUAACACGUGGGCAAUCUGCCCUGCACUCUGGGACAAGCCCUGGAAACGGGGUCUAAUACCGGA